CAUCAUUACAGUAAGGACAGUACAGUGGUACAUCAUUACAGUAAGGACAGUACAGUAGUAUAUCAUUACAGUAAGGACAGUAUAGAGGUACAUAAUUACAGUAAGGACAGUACAGUGGUUCAUCAUUACAGUAAGGACAGUAUAGAGGUACAUCAUUACAGUAAGGACAGUAUAGAGGUACAUUAUUACAGUAAGGACAGUAUAGAGGUACAUCAUUACAGUAAGGACAGUAUAGAGGUACAUUAUUACAGUAAGGACAGUAUAGCGGUACAUUAUUACAGUAAGGACAGUACAGUGGUACAUCAUUACAGUAAGGACAGUACAGAGGUACAUUAUUACAGUAAGGACAGUAUAGCGGUACAUUAUUACAGUAAGGACAGUACAGAGCAGUGAGGGAAC
rnacentral:lncRNA from 1 species